CGUCUCUCAAAAUCUCUCUUUCCCUAUGUUAGUAUGUGGAGGAUGUGCUCCUCCGCCGUUGCAGUUUCCGAGAGCAUCGUCGCCUCGCGUAGCUCCUUGCCUAUGCGCCUCAAGCCACCAGGCGAGGUCCUCGUGCCCCUCUCCUUUCUGCUACACCCAUCGCGUGUGCAGCGAGCCGACCCGACAUGACCUCGCGUUCCUGACGACUCGCAGGUCAAGGUCGUCGUGCCUCGGCCAUCUUCUCCUUCCCUGCAUCCUCUUCACUCGAUCUCCCUCUCUUGCUUAUGUUCUCGUGCCUCUCCCACAGGGAACACCCAUGGAUGGCAGCCGAAGAUUCAAGUGGACGCAGCCGUCGGAGCCUCGUCUGCGCCCAGAUCCGAAAAGCCCGUGCCGCCUCGGACCCGUUCAUGCCACUCCCGCACCGUUAAUGUCUUGUGAACUGCCCUACAACCCCCGUCCGCCAUGCCCCUGGUGCCCGAGCACCAAAUCGAGCUCCCCAUCCCCCGCGUGGCCGGAUCCGGCGACUCUCGCCGCGCCAAGUUCCACCUCGUGCCGCCCUUGGAGUCUCCUGGUGCCUCCUCUGCCAGGCCACGACGGCAGCCAAGUCGAGCCACCAGAUUUGUUCAGCUAGCGAUAGGGUUUGCUUCUUCACUUUAGUUUUCCGCAAGCGUGUCAGAAUUUGAGGAUUCGUUCGACUAUGUCGGUUCGUCUACUUCAUGGAUUUGUUCUUCUCCCAAGCGGGAUCUCAGGGCAUAAUUCCAACACAACCUGCCCUACUACCUCGGCGAGGACGGCAUGGAGGGGGAGCGUUGAAGAGAAGGCGCAGUGAAGAUGGUGGUGAAGGCCCGGCUGUCUCGUGAAGCUUGUCUUGCCCAUUAGGGAUUUUUAUAUAUUUUUAUGUUAUGUCGUUGGUUGUACCGUGAACUCUUUUAUGUACAACAUGUUAUAUAUUUAUGUUAUGUCGUUGGCUAUCCUCGAAGCUGAACUAUGUGCGUGUAUGGAGGGUUUGUUGUUAUCUCUUCCAAUUAUGAUCCAGAUGGACUCCCUUGUUGCAGUGAAGUUGAUCCAGGCAAAAGAGGUGGAUAGAUAUAUCUACUCAUCGCUUAUUAACGAGAUUAGAUACUUUAUGUCUC